rnacentral:lncRNA from 1 species
AUUUCCUACAUUUAAACAUGGUGCGGACAAGAUAAAUUGGUGAACGCGCAAGGUCAUCAGUUCAAUCAAACAUUUUCCAAUACCUAUAUUUCGGCAAAAACGACAGGGAUGUCGACUUAAACACGCAUCUUCACGGUCACCUAAAAAUAAUACACGUAUAACAUGACCUUGAAUAGGUGGAGGACUUUGAUUGGGUAAAUGGACUUUCAGCUGAUUUUCCAUACCAACAGCGAAAUAACUUGUGCGCAAUCUUACAACGAAACAAAAAUCCGCACUAUAUAAAGUGUUGGCUGUCACUUCGAUUUUCAAGCAGUCAUCGCUAAUUCUCCAAUCCAAUCCUCUAAGCAUUGCCACCAUACAACACUCGAUUGCCACGGUCUUUGUCUCCUUGGCGGCCAACAUUUUAAUGGUCAAUGUACAACAACCGACAAGCUGGACCAACCCAUACUUUACUACCAUUACAACACCCAACUGGACCUGACUACACAGAAAGUCUCGGCCGAUGAAAAAGCAGGAAAUCAGCAGCAGCUAUUCACUAAUUACAACGAUCACAGUAUGCAAAACACGCUAGGAUCUCAUGUCGUACUGCUAACAACAUGCCUGAGGGAUCUGAAAACUACGAAAGCCGAUUUGGUUCACACACAUUCCGAGACUGGACGAA